rnacentral:rRNA from 1 species
UACGUAGGGUGCAAGCGUUGUCCGGAAUUAUUGGGCGUAAAGAGCUCGUAGGCGGUCUGUCGCGUCGGCUGUGAAAACCCGGAGCUCAACUCCGGGCCUGCAGUCGAUACGGGCAGACUGGAGUUCGGCAGGGGAGACUGGAAUUCCUGGUGUAGCGGUGGAAUGCGCAGAUAUCAGGAGGAACACCGGUGGCGAAGGCGGUUCUCUGGGAAUUACCUGACGCUGAGGAGCGAAAGCAUGGGGAGCGAACAGG